rnacentral:rRNA from 1 species
AGGGUUUGAUCCUGGCUCAGAUUGAACGCUGGCGGCAUGGUUAAAACAUGCAAGUCGAACGCGAAAGCACUUCGGUGCAAGUAGAGUGGCGAAAGGGCGAGGAAUAAGUACCUAACGUGCCUUCAGGUAAGGGAUAGCUCAUGGAAACGUGUGGUAAUACCUUAUAAUCUCAUUGCUUCGUAUGGAGCUUUGAGCAAAGGCUUGCUGCCUGAAGAUCGGGGUACUUCCUAUCAGCUUGUUGGUAAGGUAAUGGCUUACCAAGGCUAAGACGGGUAGCGGGUGUGAGAGCAUGACCCGCCGCAUCGGGACUGAGACACUGCCCGGACUCCUACGGGAGGCUGCAGUAACGAAUAUUCCGCAAUGCGCGAAAGCGUGACGGAGCAAUGCCGCGUGUGGGAUGAAGCAUCUAGGUGUGUAAACCACUGUCAGGGUUUAGGAAACAAAUGACCAGACCCAAAGGAAGAGCCGGCUAACUCUGUGCCAGCAGCCGCGGUAAUACAGAGGGCUCAAGCGUUAAUCGGAAUCACUGGGCUUAAAGGGUCCGCAGGCGGAUCGGUAAGUAUCUUGUGAAAAUACCAUGGCUCAACCAUGGAAUUGCUCGGUAAACUGCCAAUCUUGAACACGGUAGGGGCCAUCGGAACUCUAGGUGGAGCGGUGAAAUGCGUANAUAUCUANAGGAACGCCANAGGCGAAGGCAGAUGGCUGGGCCGUUGUUGACG